GGGUACGUAGCUCAGUGGAUUAGAGCAACCGCCUUCUAAGCGGUCGGUCACAGGUUCGAAUCCUGUCGUACCCG
rnacentral:tRNA from 1 species